rnacentral:lncRNA from 1 species
CGCUCUCGCUGCGCGCGAGCUCGCGUCUAACGAGGGAAAUGUGACGUACGACGUAUCGCUCGAAAGACGGAAACGUCCCUAUGGCGCGCGCGCGGCGCUGGGACACGCCCCCUGUCACGUGGAGGCCGUAAUAGUAACGAGUGAGUAAUUGGGCAAAGCGAAGGUUUCGCUCGACGCGUUUCUGAGGCGAUUGUGGAGAAGGGAGGGCAAGGAAAGAAGAAGAAGAAAAAAGAAGGAAAUAAUAGCGAGUCGGUGUGCGGAAUUGUUACAUGAUGAACAUUAUAUAGAAAUGUACGAAGUUCGAAAGUAAGAGGGGGGCAAUGUGAACGUGGUACUACUAGAAGUUGAACUGAAAUCUCAUUCUGAGAGAAAAAAUUGACAACUGACAACAACACAAAAGUCGACAGAAGCGAAGGCUCCUGUGUGCACAACAGGGCUGGACCAAGCAGAGGACACCCCCGUCCACGCCAGUUGGAGGGGCUGUGGAAGAGCCGUCACCUGUGGAACUCGACAUCUUCAGGCAGACGCUCGGAGGGAAACGGGGCUCCGGCGCUGUGGGUCCGCAAUCCUCUGGAACGUUCUGAAGAGGACGGAGGCUAUUUAAAGGCGCUUUUGUUUUCGGAUCAGCUAAGGCUCGCGGCUGCUGCAACAGCACAUAAGAAGGGGUUUUCGAACGGGAUCUGCCCCGAUGUUCAGGAGGACGAGGCCGGGUGAGUCCUUCUGAACCUUCGGCAGGUUCAAGAAACUCGAAACAUCUCUCGGUG